rnacentral:rRNA from 1 species
UACGGAGUGUGCGAGCGUUACUCGGAAUCACUGGGCAUAAAGAGCACGUAGGCGGGGAUGCAUGUCCGUGGUGAAAUCCCCCAGCUCAACUGGGGAACUGCUUCGGAAACUGUGUCUCUUGAGGACGAGAGGGGAGAGUGGAACUUCUGGUGGAGCGGUGAAAUGCGUAGAUAUCAGAAGGAACACCGGUGGCGAAAGCGACUCUCUGGCUCGUUUCUGACGCUAAGGUGCGAAAGCUUGGGUAGCAAACAGG